AAGAUCGAAUGGGGAGAUUCAUCGUCAGCGACGUUGGCUUCACGGUGGCUCGUGAUAUCGCGGGGCUUCACGGUUCCGUGGUACGCGGUCAUCGCGUUACGUCCGACGGCGUCGGCGUGCACUUCUCCCCUAGUAGGACGUCGCGACCCGUUGGGUGCCGAUCUAAGGCCCGGGUGGGCGUCUGUCGCGUCGCUUCGGCGCACGCGGCAAACCCCCGGUCGCCAGUAUCGGCUGCCCGGCGGUACUCGCAUGGUAUCGGGCCGCAAUUCGAACUGCGUCGGGCCCGCCGCAAGCGCGGCCAGCGUUAUAUCGCGGAGACACGGACCUAGAGCCGUGCCCGUGCCUGGCCAGCUGUUGGCAGGCGGUGUCCUCUGACAGGCCAAAAACUUUUGAAAGUGUGAUACCGGUCGGCGACGCUACUGCUUUGGGUAAUCUCAGGACCCGUCUUGAAACACGGACCAAGGAGUCUAACAUGUGCGCGAGUCAUUGGGACAGCAUGCCUAAAGGCGAAAAUGAAAGUGAAGGUAGGCCUAGCGCCAACCGAGGGAGGAUGGGCCGCGUCACGAUGCGGGCUUCGCACUCCCGGGGCUG
rnacentral:rRNA from 1 species